rnacentral:rRNA from 1 species
ACGGGUGAGUAAUGCUUGGGAAUCUGGCUUAUGGAGGGGGAUAACUACGGGAAACUGUAGCUAAUACCGCGUAAUAUCGGAAGAUUAAAGGGUGGGACUUUCGGGCCACCUGCCAUAAGAUGAGCCCAAGUGGGAUUAGGUAGUUGGUUAGGUAAAGGCUGACCAAGCCGACGAUCUCUAGCUGGUCUGAGAGGAUGACCAGCCACACUGGAACUGAGACACGGUCCAGACUCCUACGGGAGGCAGCAGUGGGGAAUAUUGCACAAUGGGGGGAACCCUGAUGCAGCCAUGCCGCGUGAAUGAAGAAGGCCUUCGGGUUGUAAAGUUCUUUCGGUGACGAGGAAGGUUGAUAGGUUAAUAGCGUAUCAAAUUGACGUUAAUCACAGAAGAAGCACCGGCUAACUCCGUGCCAGCAGCCGCGGUAAUACGGGGGGUGCGAGCGUUAAUCGGAAUAACUGGGCGUAAAGGGCACGCAGGCGGUGACUUAAGUGAGAUGUGAAAGCCCCGGGCUUAACCUGGGAAUUGCAUUUCAUACUGGGUCGCUAGAGUACUUUAGGGAGGGGUAGAAUUCCACGUGUAGCGGUGAAAUGCGUAGAGAUGUGGAGGAAUACCGAAGGCGAACGCAGCCCCUUGGGAAUGUACUGACGCUCAUGUGCGAAAGCGUGGGGAGCAAACAGGAUUAGAUACCCUGGUAGUCCACGCUGUAAAC